UGCAGUCGAGGGGCAGCGCAGGUAGCAAUACUGGGCGGCGACCGGCAAACGGGUGCGGAACACGUACGCAACCUUCCUUUCAGCGGGGAAUAGCCCAUAGAAAUGUGGAUUAAUACCCCAUUAGAUCGUGGACCGGCAUCGGUCAGCGAUUAAAGCUCCGGCACUGAGAGAUGGGCGUGCGUCUGAUUAGGUAGUUGGUGAGGUAACGGCUCACCAAGCCGACGAUCAGUAACUGGCGUGAGAGCGCGACCAGUCACACGGGCACUGAGACACGGGCCCGACUCCUACGGGAGGCAGCAGUAAGGAAUAUUGGUCAAUGGACGCAAGUCUGAACCAGCCAUGCCGCGUGGAGGAUGAAGGUCCUCUGGAUUGUAAACUUCUUUUAUCUGGGAAGAAAUGCCAUUUUUCUAAAUGGUUUGACGGUACCAGAUGAAUAAGCACCGGCUAACUCCGUGCCAGCAGCCGCGGUAAUACGGAGGGUGCAAGCGUUAUCCGGAUUCACUGGGUUUAAAGGGUGCGUAGGCGGAAUUGUAAGUCCGUGGUGAAAUCUCCGAGCUUAACUCGGAAACUGCCGUGGAUACUAUAGUUCUUGAAUGUUGUGGAGGUUAGCGGAAUAUGUCAUGUAGCGGUGAAAUGCUUAGAUAUGACAUAGAACACCGAUUGCGAAGGCAGCUGGCUACACAAAUAUUGACGCUGAGGCACGAAAGCGUGGGGAUCAAACAGGAUUAGAUACCCUGGUAGUCCACGCCCUAAACGAUGAUUACUCGACAUUUGCGAUAUACAGCAAGUGUCUGAGCGAAAGCAUUAAGUAAUCCACCUGGGAAGUACGAACCGCAAGGUUGAAAACUCAAAGGAAUUGACGGGGGGUCCCCACCAAGCGGUGGAGCAUGUGGUUUAAUUCCAUGAUACCCCAGGGAACCUUACCUGGGGCUAAAAUGCUGGUGGACCG
rnacentral:rRNA from 1 species